CGGGUCAUUACUCAGUCAUGCGGACUCCAGGGAGCUUAUGGAUAUUGGGUGCAGCCGAUGGGAGACGGCCGCUCGGGUUAUCUUCAACCGGUUUGGAUGGCGUGCUAAUAAUAGGCUAGGUGUAUAGGCAUCGUAGUCUGCUGUUAGUUACGCCGGAUGUGGUUUUUUCAUAUCAGAUUUUUAUUUGUUUUCUCAAGCUGCAGAGCUUUGUGGACUUCAGACAUUUUUUUCGAAUUAUUAUAAAUAAGAUGGAUGUAUGCAUCCAUUGAUGCAGAGGCCGGGGGCUCGUUUCCUCCUUUAAAAAAAAACCCGGACAUUCCGAAUGCGGACACAUUCAGUCAUUCAGAUCACAUCAGAUCCAUGAAAUUGCUACCUAUUCUUCAAUUCGUCUACAUAAUUCAGGCCAAGUAAGCACAAAACAAACAGAUUACGAAACUGAACAACAUAUGUUUGGGGAUUAUAAACGAAAGGAGGGAGCACGUACAGUCACUGGGUGAACACUGAACACUACCUGACCUGAGCACAAGAAGCUAGAAUUAAACUGCGAAACCACGGGGGGCAAAUAAGUAACAGAAGCAAACCAAGUGGCGACGGUCGGCCGGACGGGACGGGGGAAGCGAAUGACGUCCUGACGGGCAACGCCGCCGUCGCGAAGCAGCAUCCUCGCCUAGGAAGGAAGCUCCGAUAGGGAGUGCGGUGAGCUGCCUGUGGUCAAGCAGCUGGCGGCUCGGAAGACGGUAGUCAGGAUCUGCCCCGCCGCACCGCAGCAGCAAGGGUGGUGAGCGUCGUUGGAGAUCAGAACAGCACACACAUACCGG
rnacentral:lncRNA from 1 species